rnacentral:rRNA from 1 species
UACGUAGGGGGCGAGCGUUGUCCGGAGUUACUGGGCGUAAAGGGCGCGCAGGCGGUCUGGCAAGUUUGGAGUGACAGUGCUCGGCUUAACUGAGCAAGGCCAUCGAAAACUGCUAGACUUGAGCACUCAAGAGGGACAUAGAAUUCCGGGUGGAGUGGUGAAAUGCGUAGAUAUCCGGAGGAAUACCAAAGGCGAAGGCAGUGUCCUGGGGAGUGUCUGACGCUCAGGCGCGAAAGCUAGGGGAGCGAACAGG